rnacentral:rRNA from 1 species
UACAGAGGGGGGCAAGCGUUAUUCGGAAUUAUUGGGCGUAAAAGGGCGCGUAGGCGGCUUUUGCAAAGUGGCGGGGUGAAAAUCCCCUCGGCUUUAACCGAGGGAACUGCCCUGUCAAAACUGCAUGGCUUUGAGACCCGGGGAGAGGGUGAGUGGGAAAUUUCCCCAGUGUAGCGGUGAAAUGCGUAGAUAUUUGGGAGGAACACCAGUGGCGAAGGCGGCUCACUGGCCCGAUACUGACGCUGAUGCGCGAAAGCGUGGGGAGCAAACGGGAU